CAUUUGUUGAACCCAAAAGAACCUAUAAAAGAAUUUCUUGUAAUAACGGCGGCUUUUUGGUCUUCACAGUCACUAAGCAUCUCUAUGUUCUAUCCACGCUAACACAGUUGAGUUGAAACCUCUUCUUCCACCAAAACCCUACAUUUCAUUACAAUCCAUUGAUUGUGCCAAUAACCAUGUUCAAAGCAUUGCUACACCCCAAUGAUUCAGCCAUAUCAACAACCUCAAGAAUACUCUGCAACUUGCAUUUCCCAUUCUCCCACAAAUUCCUCACCACCACCACCACCACCACUUCAAACCCACACUCACCCUCAUUCGCUGUCUCCUACUUCAUCAACAAUCUCAAAUUCUCAUCAGAAUCCGCUCUCAAAGCUUCCAAGCUUGUUCAUUUCAAAACCUCAAAAAAACCCGAUUCAGUUCUCAGCUUCUUCAGAACCCACGGUUUCACCGAUUCAGAUAUACACAAAAUCAUCCGAAGAGAACCAUGGCUUCUUUCCUGCGACACCCAGAAAAGGGUUCUCCCAAAGUUUCAAUUUUUACUCUCCAAAGGCGCUUCUACCUCUGACGUUGUUCGCAUCGUUGUAGGUAACCCUAGAUUCAUGAAAUCAAGCUUGAAUAACCGUGUUAUCCCUAUUUACAAUUUGGUAACUCAAUAUCUUCAAUCCGAUCAAAAGACUAUUGCUUCCAUAAUUGCAUGCCCUUCUUUACUUUGUAGUGAUUAUCUAGCUCCUAAUAUUAAUAUGAUGGCUGAGAAUGGUGUUUGCUAUUCUAGCAUUUAUAGAAUUCUUCGAACUAGACCUAAUGUUAUCUUUUGUAGACUUAGAGAGUUAGAAGAGACGGUGAAGGAAUUGAAAAACAUGGGAUUUGAUCCUUCUAAAUCAUACUUUGGCGAUGCAUUGCUCGGCAAAAUAGGUUUAAGUAAAUCAAAAUGGAAUGAGAGAAUUGAUACGUUCAAGAGUUGGGGUUGGUCUGAGGAAACUGUUUUGGAAGCUAUUAAGAGGCAGCCGAAAUGUAUGUUAGCAUCGAACGACAAAAUCAAUAGGGUGAUGAGUUUUUGGGUUAAUGAGAUGGAUUGGGAUUCUUCUUACUUAGUCAAGGGACCAGGGAUGUUUGGUUAUUGUUUGGAGAAAAGGAUCAUUCCAAGAGCUAUGGUUAUUUUCUAUCUUCUAGCUAAGGGCUUGAGAAGUGAAAAAGCUAGCUUGCUUUCUCCAUUUUAUGUAUCUGAGAAAUUGUUUUUGGAACGGUAUGUGUUAUGUUUUAAAGAAGAGGAAAGUUCGCAUCUAUUGAAGUUAUAUCAUGCAAUGAUGAAGUUGGGAGAUAAGAAGGCAAGAGACAUAGAAGAAUCAUGAAAAGUUAGUUACAUCUGUAAAAUGUUUGAUUGUAGAGAAGCUCUUCAUUGUCACAAGUAAUUUCAGACUGAACAACUUGGACAUCUAAAGACUUAUCGUAGACAAUAUCAGAUAGCAUAAGAUGUAGUUAUCUCUAUGGUUGAAGAUAAAAUGAAGAAAAACAGACAGUUUGUAAGGUGUGCAAAGCAGAUGUUUGGCUCCAGUUUGUCUAAGCCUUGCAUAACUUGUCGCCCUAAAAUUUUCAUGGAAACUAUCCUGGACCUAUAGAUCUGGAGUGCACUUGUGCAUUGUCUAGAUAGACAGUCAUUGUGAAAGCUUAAAGAUGAUUGACACAUAACAAAUGCACAAUUAUUGAAACAUGCUUGGAUUAUUUAUUUUGUUUGAAAAAAAAUUAAAGCUGUCCUAAUAUCAUUUUGAUUAUAACUUUAUAAGUCAUUUUGAUGUUAAAUAUGUAAUUCAUACAUUACACAUGUCUUUACACGAUGAUCUCAAGUAUUUUCUUAAUUAUCGA